rnacentral:rRNA from 1 species
AUGCAGUCGAGCGGUAGCACAGAGAGCUUGCUCUCGGGUGACGAGCGGCGGACGGGUGAGUAAUGUCUGGGAAACUGCCUGAUGGAGGGGGAUAACUACUGGAAACGGUAGCUAAUACCGCAUAACGUCGCAAGACCAAAGUGGGGGACCUUCGGGCCUCAUGCCAUCAGAUGUGCCCAGAUGGGAUUAGCUAGUAGGUGGGGUAAUGGCUCACCUAGGCGACGAUCCCUAGCUGGUCUGAGAGGAUGACCAGCCACACUGGAACUGAGACACGGUCCAGACUCCUACGGGAGGCAGCAGUGGGGAAUAUUGCACAAUGGGCGCAAGCCUGAUGCAGCCAUGCCGCGUGUAUGAAGAAGGCCUUCGGGUUGUAAAGUACUUUCAGCGAGGAGGAAGGCGUUAAGGUUAAUAACCUUGGUGAUUGACGUUACUCGCAGAAGAAGCACCGGCUAACUCCGUGCCAGCAGCCGCGGUAAUACGGAGGGUGCAAGCGUUAAUCGGAAUUACUGGGCGUAAAGCGCACGCAGGCGGUCUGUCAAGUCGGAUGUGAAAUCCCCGGGCUCAACCUGGGAACUGCAUUCGAAACUGGCAGGCUAGAGUCUUGUAGAGGGGGGUAGAAUUCCAGGUGUAGCGGUGAAAUGCGUAGAGAUCUGGAGGAAUACCGGUGGCGAAGGCGGCCCCCUGGACAAAGACUGACGCUCAGGUGCGAAAGCGUGGGGAGCAAACAGGAUUAGAUACCCUGGUAGUCCACGCCGUAAACGAUGUCGACUUGGAGGUUGUGCCCUUGAGGCGUGGCUUCCGGAGCUAACGCGUUAAGUCGACCGCCUGGGGAGUACGGCCGCAAGGUUAAAACUCAAAUGAAUUGACGGGGGCCCGCACAAGCGGUGGAGCAUGUGGUUUAAUUCGAUGCAACGCGAAGAACCUUACCUACUCUUGACAUCCAGAGAACUUAGCAGAGAUGCUUUGGUGCCUUCGGGAACUCUGAGACAGGUGCUGCAUGGCUGUCGUCAGCUCGUGUUGUGAAAUGUUGGGUUAAGUCCCGCAACGAGCGCAACCCUUAUCCUUUGUUGCCAGCGGUUCGGUCGGGAACUCAAAGGAGACUGCCAGUGAUAAACUGGAGGAAGGUGGGGAUGACGUCAAGUCAUCAUGGCCCUUACGAGUAGGGCUACACACGUGCUACAAUGGCAUAUACAAAGAGAAGCGACCUCGCGAGAGCAAGCGGACCUCAUAAAGUAUGUCGUAGUCCGGAUUGGAGUCUGCAACUCGACUCCAUGAAGUCGGAAUCGCUAGUAAUCGUAGAUCAGAAUGCUACGGUGAAUACGUUCCCGGGCCUUGUACACACCGCCCGUCACACCAUGGGAGUGGGUUGCAAAAGAAGUAGGUAGCUUAACCUUCGGGAGGGCGCUAC